AUCAGUUGACACUUCUAUAAACAUUUUGCAAAUUGUUCAUGUAAUUAUCAUUUAUAUAUGUAUUUUUCAUUCUAUUAUUAGUGUAAUGUUUAAUUUCCUUAUAUUUUUGGUAAAUAUUCAUUUUAUUCUACAAUUAUAUUUAUGGUUUAUGUUUUAGAUUACUUUGAAUUUUACCUUGAAGACCAAAUAAAUGAGAUGGUGGAGUCUUGUUAGCAGCUACAGCAGCAGCAGCCGCCGCAAACCAUCCACCAUAUAAUAAAGAUGAGUAUGGAAGACUUUGACCGUUAAGUUCUGUUAAACUAUCAAAUCCUAAAACAAUAUAACUUCUGUUUGUUUAAAAUUUACCCUAUUUUUAAAUAUGUACAGCUUAGCAUUAAUUUAUAAUUUUUAUUUAUUAAUUGUAUUUAUUUAUUUAUUAAUAGUGAAAUAAAGGCGAUUUGUUGUACAAAUAAAAUAAUAUGCAUCUUGUACUUUUUGACUUACCCACACGCAAAGGUUCAACAUGAAAAGGUCUGUCUGAUUCUGAAGACGCAGGGCCUGUGACGGUACUACCAUUUGCACUAAAUCUUCCCAAAAUACGAUCAAUUGAAAAUUUGUGAUAUGAUUUGGCACAUGGUUCAUCAGCACUACUAUUGUUGGAUGAUUCUGAAUGUCUUAAAGGUGAUUUGAUUAGGUUUCUAUCGUAGACAGUAUAAGACUGUUGUUCAUAACUUAUACGAUGUACUUCAUCAGAAUCGGAAGAUGUAUCCAUGAUACUAUAUUCUGUAAAAUACUAA